rnacentral:rRNA from 1 species
GACAGGGAGACAGGUGGUGCAUGGUUGUCGUCAGCUCGUGUUGUGAAAUGUUGGUUAAGUCCCGCACGAGCGCAACCCUUACCCUUUGUUGCCAGCGGUCCGGCCGGGAACUCAAAGGAGACUGCCAGUGAUAAACUGGAGGAAGGUGGGGAUGACGUCAAGUCAUCAUGGCCCUUACGACCAGGGCUACACACGUGCUACAAUGGCGCAUACAAAGAGAAGCGACCUCGCGAGAGCAAGCGGACCUCAUAAAGUGCGUCGUAGUCCGGAUUGGAGUCUGCAACUCGACUCCAUGAAGUCGGAACCGCUAGUAAUCGUGGAUCAGAAUGCCACGGUGAAUACGUUCCCGGGCCUU